rnacentral:tRNA from 1 species
UCCCUGGUGGCUCAGCUGGUAAAGAACCUGCCUGCAAAGCGGGAGACCUGGGUUCAAUCCCUGGGUUGGGAA